rnacentral:rRNA from 1 species
AGAAUCAACGCUGGCGGCGUGCCUAACACAUGCAAGUCGAACGCGACUGAGGGCUUCGGUUCUCAGUUGAGUGGCGAACGGGUGAGUAACACGUGGGUGAUCUACCUUCGAGCGGGGAUAACGUCCGAAAGGACGCUAAUACCGCAUGACGUUCUGGGUUUAAAGACCUGGAAACCAAAGCCGGGGACCGCAAGGCCUGGCACUUGAAGAGGAGCCCGCGUCCGAUUAGCUAGUUGGCGGGGUAAUGGCCCACCAAGGCGACGAUCGGUA